GAACGCUGGCGGCGUGCUUAACACAUGCAAGUCGAACGGAAAGGCCCUGCUUUUGUGGGGUGCUCGAGUGGCGAACGGGUGAGUAACACGUGAGUAACCUGCCCUUGACUUUGGGAUAACUUCAGGAAGCUGGGGCUAAUACCGGAUAGGAGCUCCUGCUGCAUGGUGGGGGUUGGAAAGUUUCGGCGGUUGGGGAUGGACUCGCGGCUUAUCAGCUUGUUGGUGGGGUAGUGGCUUACCAAGGCUUUGACGGGUAGCCGGCCUGAGAGGGUGACCGGCCACAUUGGGACUGAGAUACGGCCCAGACUCCUACGGGAGGCAGCAGUGGGGAAUAUUGCACAAUGGGCGGAAGCCUGAUGCAGCAACGCCGCGUGCGGGAUGACGGCCUUCGGGUUGUAAACCGCUUUCGCCUGUGACGAAGCGUGAGUGACGGUAAUGGGUAAAGAAGCACCGGCUAACUACGUG
rnacentral:rRNA from 1 species